rnacentral:rRNA from 1 species
UACGUAGGGACCAAGCGUUGUUCGGAUUUACUGGGCGUAAAGGGCGCGUAGGCGGCAAUUCAAGUCAUCUGUGAAAUCUCCGGGCUUAACUCGGAACGGUCAGAUGACACUGCUUUGCUAGAGUGCGGAAGGGGCAAUCGGAAUUCUCGGUGUAGCGGUGAAAUGCGUAGAUAUCGAGAGGAACACCUGAGGUGAAGACGGGUUGCUGGGCUGACACUGACGCUGAACUGCGAAAGCUAGGGGAGCGAACGGG